AGCGAACGCUGGCGGCAGGCCUAACACAUGCAAGUCGAACGAACCCUUCGGGGUUAGUGGCGGACGGGUGAGUAACACGUGGGAACGUGCCUUUAGGUUCGGAAUAACUCAGGGAAACUUGUGCUAAUACCGAAUGUGCCCUUCGGGGGAAAGAUUUAUCGCCUUUAGAGCGGCCCGCGUCUGAUUAGCUAGUUGGUGAGGUAAUGGCUCACCAAGGCUACGAUCAGUAGCUGGUCUGAGAGGAUGACCAGCCACAUUGGGACUGAGACACGGCCCAAACUCCUACGGGAGGCAGCAGUGGGGAAUCUUGCGCAAUGGGCGAAAGCUUGACGCAGCCAUGCCGCGUGGAUGAUGAAGGUCUUAGGAUUGUAAAAUUCUUUCGCCGGGGACGAUAAUGACGGUACCCGGAGAAGAAGCCCCGGCUAACUUCGUGCCAGCCGCCGCAGUAAGAC
rnacentral:rRNA from 1 species